CGGGGGAGGCCGGAUCCUGGGCUGUGUCCCCGGCGCCCUGGGCUCCGGGACCUGCGCUGGUGGAUUCGUGCUCCCUCCCCGCAGCCCCCU
rnacentral:pre_miRNA from 1 species